ensembl:lncRNA
GUCACUCUCUUCACCUGGUGAAUUUUUCUCUCAUCAUUUCUUCUGAUGUUAUCAUCGGAGAUAACCUCACUCUGAGCAUCACUCAAAUAUCCACAGUGUUUUUAAAAACAAAGGCUAAUUAUUUCUUUCAACCCAAAGGUCCUGUUCCCUGGUAAGGGGUAAUUUAAAAUUCAGCUUACUCUGGUAGACAAAAACAAAAAGAGUUAAUCAGUGACCUAAAAAAUCAGCUGUUGCCUAGACACCAGUGACCAGGAGCCUUUUACAGUUUGCUGGUACAAAUGCUGUAUUGCACCAGGCAGUAAUGUCAAGGAACCUGAAACGAAAAUGUAACGGUGCUGAAAAGACAGAAAUGCUUAUUAGCUCUUCCUUCUCUGUACUAGGAAUGCACGAGCAGGGUGUAACCCAUCUGAUGAUGCAUCUUCAAUCAAAGGCUCAAGGGAGCAGAUCCUUCCAUGUUUUCAGUUGGCAUGGGUCCACAGAACAGCUGUGCCAAUUACUUCCAGUUGAGGACUACCACUGGGUGUAUAGCUGCUUGUACUGAAGUUGUUGCAAUUACUAUCAUUAUGUUAUUUCUUGGCAAGGAAAGGAGAAAGAUAAGUGAGUGUCUGGGGUGCUUUGUUUAACUGCGGUGGGCCACUUACUCAUGCCAACCACCGAGAGCUACUAGGAAGCAAGCACAGCGAGAAGUGAACUUCUUGGAAAUUUCAGAUUUAACACGCUGACAGAGAUCUUUACCACUGCUUUGACCUGCAGGAGCUACUCGUGUUAAUGCCAGCACCGAGGAAAACUAUCGCGUGGUUUACCUCCACCUGAGGAACCAUCUUGAUGACUUGCUCCAAAUGCAAAGCUUCAGCAGUUCCUGGCUGCAGCACGGAGGUACUGAACAGUUCUCUGCAAUGCUCUGGGGCUCAGACCAAGCGUAGGGCAGCGCCACCAUCAGCAGGAGGGCCCCGUCCUACUCUGGCUUUGCCAAUGAAAUACGGAGAGAACCCUUU